rnacentral:rRNA from 1 species
AGGUGAAAAGCACGCCCGUUAGGCGAGUGAAAUAGACCCUGAAACUGUGUGCUUACAAGCGGUGGGAGCUCGGGUGCUGGCUAAGCCAGCAGUGAGUGACCGCGUGCCUUUUGCAUAAUGAGCCAACGAGUGACGUUAGCGCGCAAGGUUAAGCCGUUAGGCGAAGCCGAAGCGAAAGCGAGUCUGAAUAGGGCGCUAUAGUGCGUUGAUGUUGACCCGAAGCCAGGUGAGCUACCCAUGGCCAGGGUGAAGCGACCCUAACAGGUUGUGAAGGCCCGAACCGACUAAGAUUGAAAACUUGGCGGAUGAGCUGUGGGUAGGGGUGAAAGACCAAGCAAACCUGGAGAUAGCUGGUUCUCCCCGAAAUCUAUUUAGGUAGAGCCUUGUCGACGCGUGUCGGCGGUAGAGCACUGACUGGAGUAGGGGCCCCACCAGGCUACCGAAUCCAAUCAAACUCCGAAUGCCGGCAACGACAGCGACAGGAGUCAGACUACGGGAGAUAAGUUCCGUGGUCGAAAGGGAAACAGCCCAGACCGUCCGAUAAGGUCCCAGAAUCGCUGCUUAGUGGUAAAGGUGGUCAUAAUGCCCAGACAGCCAGGAAGUUGGCUUAGAAGCAGCCACCCUUUAAAGAAAGCGUAACAGCUCACUGGUCGAGUGCUAUGGCGCCGAAAAUGUCCGGGACUCAAGUAGCGUACCGAAGCGGCGGAUGCCUGUUUACAGACAUGGUAGGGGAGCAUUCUUAGGGGGUCGAAGCUAUACCGAAAGGCGUAGUAGACCGCUAAGAAGAGAGAAUGUUGGCAUGAGUAACGCUAAAGGGGGUGAGAGUCCCCCUCGCCGAAAACCCAAGGGUUCCUGGGCAAGGUGAUCCUCCCAGGGUGAGUCGGCCCCUAAGCCGAGGCCGAAAGGCGUAGGCGAUGGAUAACGGGUUAAUAUUCCCGUACUUCUUUGAUCGCGUUUGAGCGAUGGGGUGACGCGGACGGGUAGUCCAGCCGGCGAUUGGAAGUGCCGGUGCAAGCCAGUAGGCGGGAUUGGUAGGCAAAUCCGCCGAUCCAUUAACGCCGAGAGGUGAUGACGAGGCUUUAAGCCUAUAAGUGGAUGAUCCCAUACCGCCAAGAAAAGCCUCUAGUGAGUGAUCAAGGAAGCCGUACCCGAAACCAACACAGGUGGGUGAGGAGAGCAUCCUAAGGCGUGAGGUACCCCUCGUUAAGGAACUCGGCAAGUUGACUCCGUAACUUCGGGAGAAGGAGUACCUUGGUAGGGUGAAGCUUGUACAAGUGGAGCUCGAAGAGGUGGCACAAACCAGGGCCAGACGACUGUUUACUAAAAACACAGGUCUCUGCGAAGUCGCAAGACGAAGUAUAGGGACUGACGCCUGCCCGGUGCCGGAAGGUUAAGAGGAGGGGUCAUCUUUCGGGAGAAGCUCUGAAUCGAAGCCCCGGUAAACGGCGGCCGUAACUAUAACGGUCCUAAGGUAGCGAAAUUCCUUGUCGGGUAAGUUCCGACCUGCAUGAAUGGCGUAACGAUUUGGCCACUGUCUCGACGAGGGUCUUGGUGAAAUUGUAGUAUCAGUGAAGAUGCUGAUUACCUGCGGAAGGACGGAAAGACCCCGUGCACCUUUACUAUACCCUGAUAGUGGGCGUUGGAUAUUUUUGUGUAGGAUAGGUGGGAGGCUUUGAAGCCGGGGCGCUAGCCUUGGUGGAGCCAUCCUUGAAAUACCACCCUGAAGUGUUUGACGUUCUAACCAUGUUCCGUGAUCCGGGACUGGGACCCUGUCAGGCGGGUAGUUUGACUGGGGCGGUCGCCUCCUAAAAUGUAACGGAGGCGCCUAAUGGUACCCUCAGGCGGUAUGGAAAUCCGCUGACGAGUGUAAAGGCACAAGGGUGCUUGACUGCGAGAGAGACAUCUCGAGCAGGGACGAAAGUCGGGCUUAGUGAUCCGGUGGUUCUUUGUGGUAGGGCCAUCGCUCAUCGGAUAAAAGGUACGCCGGGGAUAACAGGCUUAUCCCGCCCAAGAGUUCACAUCGACGGCGGGGUUUGGCACCUCGAUGUCGGCUCAUCGCAUCCUGGGGCUGAAGCAGGUCCCAAGGGUUGGGCUGUUCGCCCAUUAAAGCGGUACGCGAGCUGGGUUUAGAACGUCGUGAGACAGUUCGGUCCUUAUCCUCCGUAGGCGCAGGAGUGUUGAGAGGAGCUGUCCCCAGUACGAGAGGACCGGGAUGGACGCAUCUCUAGUGUACCAGUUGUGGCGCCAGCUGCACCGCUGGGUAGCUACAUGCGGAUCGGAUAACCGCUGAAUGCAUCUAAGCGGGAAGCCGACCUCAAGAUGAGCACUCCCGGAUGGAAACAUCCCAUAGACCUGUUGAAGACGACAACGUUGAUAGGCGGUAGGUGGAAGCGCGGUGACGUGUGAAGCUGAGCCGUACUAAUCGGUCAUGAGGCUUGACCUU